UACAGAGGAUGCAAGCGUUAUCCGGAAUGGUUGGGCGUAAAGCGUCCGCAGGUGGUUUUGUAAGUCUGCUGUUAAAGCGUUAGGCUCAACCUAAUAAGGGCAGUGGAAACUAUGAGACUAGAGUAUGUUAGGGGUAGAGGGAAUUCCCAGUGUAGCGGUGAAAUGCGUAGAGAUUGGGAAGAACACCGGUGGCGAAAGCGCUCUGCUAGGACAAUACUGACACUGAGGGACGAAAGCUAGGGGAGCGAAUGGG
rnacentral:rRNA from 1 species